rnacentral:misc_RNA from 1 species
AUGAGUUUGAAAGGGGUUGUUGCUGGUCUCUUCGGGGACAUGUGCACACUCCGCUCACUCCAUAUACACCUGUGCACCUUUGGUAGAUCAUGAUCAAUUAGACCACUGGGCGUUGAUCAUACUACCUAUUUUUAUAAACUCUGAAAGUAAUGAAUGUAAAGCUAUAAACGCAUAAAUA